AGCAUAACAGUUGACUGCAAGGCUAGAGACUCAUUGCUCAGCGAGGAACAGCAGCCAGCUGGGCCAACAGGAUAAAUGUUUUUAUCAGCUACAAUAUUUUUUCAACACCGGGUCACUCUGGAAGCCAUCCCAGGCAUGAUCUGGUGCCCAAGAUCAUUCCUGGACUACAGAAAUCCAGCUUACCUUGAUUUAUUAGCUCCCUUCUCCCCAAGAUUGGCAGGGAAAGAUUAAACCACAAACUGAAAGGAGAGAAAACGCACGUUGGACCAAAGGGCUACAGCACCAUUCAUCUGGCAACUUCCCCGGCUCUGCCUGCUGAUGUGCUCUGGCAUUCAUCUUCAGAUGUUAUUAUUGCUUCUGACCGAAGAAUGUACCUCACAGCCAAAGAAGGGAUGCGGUGAACUCAUGGAUGGAACUCACUGAUAUUACUAUGUUCCCUACCAUCCAGAGGCAGCUUAAAUGAGAGAAGGGUGGAAUGGCCUUUGGAAGAUGCAGUUACAGAGCCAGCCAGAAAUGGAAAAAGGAAUAUGAAGGAAAGGACAAGGUAGAGAAGGAUGAAAGGAGAAAGAAGAAAGGAUGAAAAUAAGCACUGUUUCUCCAUCAGUGUCUUCAGGCAA